UCCCUGGUGAUCUAGUGGUUAGGAUUCAGCUCUAUCACUGCUGCGGCCAGGGUUCAAUCCCUGGUCUGAGAA
rnacentral:tRNA from 1 species